rnacentral:rRNA from 1 species
UACGUAGGGGGCAAGCGUUGUCCGGAAUCAUUGGGCGUAAAGAGCGUGUAGGCGGCUCGGUAAGUCCGCUGUGAAAGUCCAGGGCUCAACCCUGGAAAGCCGGUGGAAACUGUCGAGCUUGAGUCCGGAAGAGGCGAGUGGAAUUCCUGGUGUAGCGGUGAAAUGCGCAGAUAUCAGGAGGAACACCAAUGGCGAAGGCAGCUCGCUGGGACGGUACUGACGCUGAGACGCGAAAGCGUGGGGAGCAAACAGG